rnacentral:rRNA from 1 species
GACGUAGGGGGCUAGCGUUGUCCGGAAUCACUGGGCGUAAAGAGCUCGUAGGCGGUCUGUUAAGUCGGGUGUGAAAGCCCUCGGCUCAACCGAGGAAUUGCAUUCGAUACUGGCGGGCUAGAGUCUAGCAGAGGGAAGUGGAAUUCCCGGUGUAGCGGUGAAAUGCGCAGAUAUCGGGAAGAACACCGGUGGCGAAGGCGGCUUCCUGGGCUAUGACUGACGCUGAGGAGCGAAAGCUAGGGGAGCGAACAGGAUUAGAUACC